rnacentral:rRNA from 1 species
UACGGGGGGGGCAAGCGUUGUUCGGAAUUACUGGGCGUAAAGGGCUCGUAGGCGGCCAACUAAGUCGGAUGUGAAAUCCCCAGGCUUAACCUGGGAACUGCAUCCGAUACUGGAUGGCUUGAAUCCGGGAGAGGGAUGCGGAAUUCCAGGUGUAGCGGUGAAAUGCGUAGAUAUCUGGAGGAACACCGACGGCGUAGGCAGCGCCCUGGACGACACCUGACGCUGAGGCACGAAAGCUGGGGGAGCGAACAGG